AGAGACCUGUUUCUUGGGCAGCUCUCUGAAAAGCUGGAAUGUUGGAGGCAUGCUCUAUUCUUUUCUCCCAGAGGAAAAAGAUGUGAAGAGGCAUUCUGUCUUGGCACUGAGCUGUGCUAACUUGGGGGAGAGGCUGAUGCAGGCCUGUUAUUUGAUGAAGAUGAUAUAAAUAGAAGCAGAGCAGCACAUAGUGUGACCACGAAAGGCCAAAGAGCACAUACUGGAGACCUGAAUGUCAACCAAACUGCAUAAUCCCUGUUUAUCUUCAUUGUAGAAAUUGCCAUAACCGCAUUCCUGUAAACUUAUAUUCAUGAAGAAAGUCAGAGUACUUGUUGCAGAUGCAAUGCUAGGUCUUCAGCCAUGUGCUAUAGAAACAGAAGGUGACAAAUAUAACCAAGGAUUGGGAGGAGAAAAAGAAGAAAGCCAAUUUGGGAAAUGAGACUGUAAAGUUUAUAAUGCUACUGAUUUUCAAACAUUUUCAGAAGCAAUGGAAAGAAGAAUGCGAAGAAAAUGAGUUUAUUUUCCAAAAUGCUUUUUUUGUUAUUGUUUUGCAAUUUCCCUUUGUUAACAUCAUAUAGGUUAUGGGGGUUUCUGUUUUGAAAAAAAUAAAUACUGCACCGUGUGUGGAUUGCUACUCAGCACUCAGCAAUAAACAAGUCAAUGAAUGCUCUAGGUUUUAA
rnacentral:lncRNA from 1 species